GUGGCUUGGGGGUGAUUUUCAGCCUUCCCCUCAAUUUUGGUAGCCCUGAAUUUAUGAAAUGCCAAACUCAGAACCAUUAAGAAAAUCCUCCCCAAAAUGAAGUUUCUCUAACAACUGGAGAUGAAAACUCUCCUGAGCAGCCAAAUUCUAGAAACAGGAAGUCCCAUGGGACAGAAAGUUCAGCUGGUUAACUUGCACACAUGAUGGUUCAACGCCUGUGCGUGAGGAUGUGCACGUGUGCAGAAGAAGGGGCUCGGGCUGUGUUCCCCUCCUGAGCAGGGUUCAGGGAAAGGGGAAGGGAGUGUCCCUCUUGACUCAACCAAGGGACCCCAAAAUGGUUAGUGAGAUAAUGUAUUUAAAAGCUCUUUGUAAAGUGUAAACUAAAAACCUUAAAUGUAAGAUGUUAUUGUUAAUUACUAUUGUUGUUGUUAUUAUUGACAUGCCAAAAGGCCCUCUGUACAAGAUGGCUUUGCCUUUUCAACUUCACAGAAAAGAACCUGAGUCUGACACUUCAGAAAGGUGACAGAGAGGAGGACAACGAGGAAGGAGGCAAGGAAAGGGAGGGAGGUCUCCUAGGGCCAGGGAAAGAGGAGAAAAUCCCCCAGGAUGACCCUCAGGAACCCAGGAGUGGCCAGGAUGGGGAAUGAGCUAACCUUGCCCUUCACCGGAUACAAAGCUAUCAGCAGGCUGAGCCCUCAGGCCGAGAAGCCACGCAGUGCCAUUGCUGGGAGCAGAAGCCCCUAGUGUAAAAGGACCUGCCCCCAAAGGCCCACAGGCUCCCAGAUAUCAGAGUGGGAGGAACCCAAGGGGGUCCCUGGUGGCUGGGAACACCGAGAAUCAGAGAAAUGGCGUGUCUAGACCAGAGACCAAGGUCAUCCAGGAAAUGAACACCAGGGGCAGGAAGAGACCCAGGUGCCUAUGCAGGCCAAAGUUCUUCCUGCGACUCCACAGGGGGCAUCCAGGCAGAAUGAAGCCUGAGACAGGCCCUCCAAUACCUUCUUGGUGGCCAGGAAAGUAUCCUUCACCUUCCCCCACCGCCGUCUCCCGGUGCACCCAGAUGGCCGGGAAGCUGGGGCACUAUCUGGUUUGGUGACACUUAUCCACGUUUCCCAGUCUGGGUUAGACAGUGCCAAAGGGAACACUUGGGGAAAGUUGAUGAGAGAUGCCAGCUAGCAAGGCCAGCAAAGCCAGAAUGGGGCAUUUGGCAAAGCUUCUUUCUCUAACUCAACAAAUUUCGAAGAGGGAAAAUUUUAAGAUGUUUUUUAAAACAAUGUAAUAGCGCCACUUCCCCAGUAUGGGAUAAAUAAUGUGUUUCGGUUUUUUUUUCCCAACAGACUGUCAUAUGCUGAUAUCAUUAAAAUAAAUGGAUGAGUCACAGGAGAGCUAUCAGAUGCUCUCGUGAAUACCAUAACCUC
rnacentral:lncRNA from 1 species